UACGGGGGGGGCAAGCGUUGUUCGGAAUUACUGGGCGUAAAGGGCUCGUAGGCGGCCAACUAAGUCGGAUGUGAAAUCCCCAGGCUUAACCUGGGAACUGCAUCCGAUACUGGAUGGCUUGAAUCCGGGAGAGGGAUGCAGAAUUCCAGGUGUAGCGGUGAAAUGCGUAGAUAUCUGGAGGAAUACCGGUGGCGAAGGCGGCAUCCUGGACCGGCAUUGACGCUGGGGAGCGAAAGCCAGGGGAGCAAACGGG
rnacentral:rRNA from 1 species